GACAGAGGAUGCAAGCGUUAUCCGGAAUGAUUGGGCGUAAAGCGUCCGUAGGUGGCACUUCAAGUCUGUCGUCAAAGACCGGGGCUUAACCCUGGAAAGGCGAUGGAAACUGUAAGGCUAGAGAGAGGUAGGGGUAGAGGGAAUUCCCAGUGUAGCGGUGAAAUGCGUAGAGAUUGGGAAGAACAUCGGUGGCGAAAGCGCUCUACUGGACCUCAUCUGACACUCAGGGACGAAAGCUAGGGGAGCGAAUGGG
rnacentral:rRNA from 1 species